GUGCUCGCUUCAGCAGCACAUAUGCUAAAAUUGGGAUGAUACAGAGAACGUUACCAUGGCCUCUGUGCAAGGAUGAUACACAAAUUUGUGAAGUGUUCAUUUUUUUU